CCUUGCUGUCAUGCAACACUGAAGGCAUCUGACAUUGGCAGCUAUGCAGUCAUGGGCCUGCGUAGUACUUGAACAGGAGACCACCCUGGAUUCUCGGCGCCAUAGAGC
rnacentral:rRNA from 1 species